CCAGACUCCUACGGGAGGCAGCAGUGGGGGAUAUUGCACAAUGGGGGAAACCCUGAUGCAGCGACGCCGCGUGAGUGAAGAAGUAUUUCGGUAUGUAAAGCUCUAUCAGCAGGGAAGAAGAAGACGGUACCUGACUAAGAAGCCCCGGCUAACUACGUGCCAGCAGCCGCGGUAAUACGUAGGGGGCAAGCGUUAUCCGGAUUUACUGGGUGUAAAGGGAGCGUAGACGGCAGGGCAAGUCUGGAGUGAAAGCCCGGGGCCCAACCCCGGGACUGCUUUGGAAACUGCCAUGCUGGAGUGCUGGAGAGGUAAGCGGAAUUCCUAGUGUAGCGGUGAAAUGCGUAGAUAUUAGGAGGAACACCAGUGGCGAAGGCGGCUUACUGGACAGUAACUGACGUUGAGGCUCGAAAGCGUGGGGAGCGAACAGGAUUAGAUACCCGUGUA
rnacentral:rRNA from 1 species